rnacentral:rRNA from 1 species
UACCAGCACCCCGAGUGGUCGGGACGUUUAUUGGGCCUAAAGCAUCCGUAGCCGGUUCUACAAGUCUUCCGUUAAAUCCACCUGCUCAACAGAUGGGCUGCGGAAGAUACUAUGGAGCUAGGAGGCGGGAGAGGCAAGCGGUACUCGAUGGGUAGGGGUAAAAUCCGUUAAUCCAUUGAAGACCACCAGUGGCGAAGGCGGCUUGCCAGAACGCGCUCGACGGUGAGGGAUGAAAGCUGGGGAGCAAACCGG